rnacentral:rRNA from 1 species
UACGUAGGGUGCAAGCGUUGUCCGGAAUUAUUGGGCGUAAAGAGCUCGUAGGCGGUUUGUCGCGUCUGUCGUGAAAGCCCACGGCUUAACCGUGGGUCUGCGGUGGAUACGGGCAGACUAGAGGCAGGUAGGGGAGAAUGGAAUUCCCGGUGUAGCGGUGAAAUGCGCAGAUAUCGGGAGGAACACCGGUGGCGAAGGCGGUUCUCUGGGCCUGUACUGACGCUGAGGAGCGAAAGCGUGGGGAGCGAACAGG